rnacentral:rRNA from 1 species
UACGGAGGGGACUAGCGUUGUUCGGAAUUACUGGGCGUAAAGCGCACGUAGGCGGAUUUGUAAGUCAGGGGUGAAAUCCCCAGGCUUAACCUGGGAACUGCAUUCGAGACUGCAUUGCUAGAGUAUGGGAGAGGGAAGUGGAAUUUCAGGUGUAGCGGUGAAAUGCGUAGAUAUCUGAAGGAACAUCAGUGGCGAAAGCGACUUCCUGGACCAAUACUGACGCUCAUGUGCGAAAGCGUGGGGAGCAAACAGG